GCAUGGCUGUCGUCAGCUCGUGUCGUGAGAUGUUCGGUUAAGUCCGCUAACGAGCGCAACCCUCGCUGUGUGUUACAAGUGUCACACGGUACUGCCGAUAUUAAGUCGGAGGAAGGUGGGGAUGACGUCAAGUCAGCAUGACCUUUAUAUCCAGGGCUACACACACGCUACAAUGGCCAGUACAAUGGGUUGCCAAGCCGCGAGGCGGAGCCAAUCCUAAAAAGCUGGCCUCAGUUCAGAUUGCAGUCUGCAACUCGACUGCAUGAAGUUGGAGUUGCUAGUAACCGCAGGUCAGCAAUACUGCGGUGAAUACGUUCCCGGGGAUU
rnacentral:rRNA from 1 species